rnacentral:rRNA from 1 species
AGAGUUUGAUCAUGGCUCAGAUUGAACGCUGGCGGAAUGCUUUACACAUGCAAGUCGAACGAUGAACCUUAGCUUGCUAAGGGGAUUAGUGGCGAACGGGUGAGUAAUAUAUCGGAACGUGCCUUGUAAUGGGGGAUAACUAGUCGAAAGAUUAGCUAAUACCGCAUACGCCCUGAGGGGGAAAGUAGGGGAUCUUCGGACCUUACGUUAUAAGAGCGGCCGAUAUCUGAUUAGCUAGUUGGUGGGGUAAUGGCCUACCAAGGCUUCGAUCAGUAGCUGGUCUGAGAGGACGACCAGCCACACUGGAACUGAGACACGGUCCAGACUCCUACGGGAGGCAGCAGUGGGGAAUUUUGGACAAUGGGCGCAAGCCUGAUCCGGCCAUUCCGCGUGAGUGAAGAAGGCCUUCGGGUUGUAAAGCUCUUUCGCAAGGGAAGAAAACUUACCUUCUAAUAAAGGGUGAGGCUGACGGUACCUUGAUAAGAAGCACCGGCUAACUACGUGCCAGCAGCCGCGGUAAUACGUAGGGUGCGAGCGUUAAUCGGAAUUACUGGGCGUAAAGCGUGCGCAGGCGGUUUGGCAAGUCAGAUGUGAAAUCCCCGAGCUCAACUUGGGAACUGCGUUUGAAACUGCCAGACUAGAAUAUGUCAGAGGGGGGUAGAAUUCCACGUGUAGCAGUGAAAUGCGUAGAGAUGUGGAGGAAUACCAAUGGCGAAGGCAGCCCCCUGGGAUAAUAUUGACGCUCAUGCACGAAAGCGUGGGGAGCAAACAGGAUUAGAUACCCUGGUAGUCCACGCCCUAAACGAUGUCUACUAGUUGUUGGUGGAGUAAAAUCCAUGAGUAACGCAGCUAACGCGUGAAGUAGACCGCCUGGGGAGUACGGUCGCAAGAUUAAAACUCAAAGGAAUUGACGGGGGCCCGCACAAGCGGUGGAUUAUGUGGAUUAAUUCGAUGCAACGCGAAAAACCCUUACCUGGGCCUUGACAUGCCA